UACGGAGGGUGCAAGCGUUGUUCGGAAUCAUUGGGCGUAAAGCGCGUGUAGGCGGCUUGGCAAGUCGGUUGUGAAAUCCCGGGGCCCAACCCCGGAACUGCAUUCGAAACUGCCUCGCUAGAGUCCCGGAGAGGAAGGCGGAAUUCCCGGUGUAGAGGUGAAAUUCGUAGAUAUCGGGAGGAACACCAGCGGCGAAGGCGGCCUUCUGGACGGUACUGACGCUGAGGCGCGAAAGCGUGGGGAGCAAACAGG
rnacentral:rRNA from 1 species